rnacentral:rRNA from 1 species
GGGGUUUGACAUGAUAGUGAAGUAUGCAGAGAUGUAUACGCCUUUCGGGGCGCUAUUACAGGUGCUGCAUGGCUGUCGUCAGCUCGUGUCGUGAAAUGUUGGGUUAAGUCCCGCAACGAGCGCAACCCUUGCCCCUAGUUGCCAGCAAGUAAUGUUGGGGACUCUAGGGGGACUGCCGGUGAUAAACUGGAGGAAGGUGGGGAUGACGUCAAGUCCUCAUGGCCCUUACAUCCCGGGCUACACACGUGCUACAAUGGGCUGUACAGAGGGUCGCAAACUCGCGAGAGUAAGCCAAUCCCACAAAGCAGUCCUCAGUUCGGAUUGGAGUCUGCAACUCGACUCCAUGAAG